rnacentral:rRNA from 1 species
GAUGAACGCUGGCGGCGUGCCUAAUACAUGCAAGUCGAGCGAACGGGCGAGAAGCUUGCUUCUUUGAUGUUAGCGGCGGACGGGUGAGUAACACGUGGAUAACCUACCUAUAAGACUGGGAUAACUUCGGGAAACCGUAGCUAAUACCGGAUAAUAUUUUGAACCGCAUGGUUCAAAAGUGAAAGACGGUCAUGCUGUCACUUAUAGAUGGAUCCGCGCUGCAUUAGCUAGUUGGUAAGGUAACGGCUUACCAAGGCAACGAUGCAUAGCCGACCUGAGAGGGUGAUCGGCCACACUGGAACUGAGACACGGUCCAGACUCCUACGGGAGGCAGCAGUAGGGAAUCUUCCGCAAUGGGCGAAAGCCUGACGGAGCAACGCCGCGUGAGUGAUGAAGGUCUUCGGAUCGUAAAACUCUGUUAUUAGGGAAGAACAUAUGUGUAAGUAACUGUGCACAUCUUGACGGUACCUAAUCAGAAAGCCACGGCUAACUACGUG